rnacentral:SRP_RNA from 2 species
GCUGGGUGCGGUGGCGCACACCUGUAAUCCCAGCACUUUGGGAGGCUGAGGCAGGAGAAUUGCUUGAGCCCAGGAGUUGGAGACCAGCCUGGGCAACAUAGCGAGACCCUGUCUGUA